ensembl:lncRNA myosin-10-like
UUAGACACUUGAAGCGCGAGGUCAGAGGACACCAUGAAGAGAUGUCUCAGUUAAGCGAGAGGGUCAGAGAUAUGGAGCGCCUUAUAGACCAGAAGGAGAAAGAACAGCAGCAGCUACAUGAUCAGCUGCGUGAUGGUCAGCAACAGGUCGAGACAUUUGAAGGGAAGCAAGAGAAGCAGGAGCUUGAGAUGGAAUUUCUUCAGCAGCAGCUGCGAGGAGCCAAGGAGCAGCUGAAAGAUGCCAGUUUACAAGCCCAGGAGAAGAAAGAAACAGUAGCCAUUUUUAGACAGAAGUACACAGCAGCGAUGGAGAAGGUGCACCGGGUGCAAGGGCAGGUGGAGCUUUUGGAAGAGGAACUACAGUAUUCACAGCAACAGCUCGGAGAUGCCCAAGUUGGGACUCAUUCAGUGAAAGAGGAGCUAGCCGAGAUGGAGCAGCGGUACCGGGAAAAGGUCGGCCAAUGGGAGUUCUCGCAGGAGGCUCUCGACCAGUUGACGGAUGAGCUCCAGGCCAAUCAGGAUCUAUGGAGGGAGAGUCAACAAAAAGCAGACCAUCUGAAAGGCCUGGCAGGAUCCCUGCAGGAGCAAGUGGACACACUCAAACAGCAGAAAGCGAUGUUGGAGUGUGACCUACAGCUAUAUCAACAGAGUCACUCUCAUGCUGACGAGGAGUUCCUCCGGCAGCUGAGACACCGGCAGCAGCUUCAGAAGCGCUGCACGGAGCAGGUCGAACGCCUUGCAGAGUGUGAGAAGGCGAUUCUUCAGAUGAAGUCAGAGCUGGAGAGACAAGUCCAGGAAAAAGGGGGUCUGAAGCAAAGUCUUCUCGCGUCCCACCAUACACACACGAGCGACCGAAGCCGGCUGGAACAGGAAGUUGUAUGCUUAGAGCUUGAGCUGGCUGACACCCAAAAGGUACAUGUGGCACUUCUCAGACAGUCAGAGGAGGAGCUGAAGGAGGCCGUACAAGAGGCAGCGAGAAGGAGCAGUGAGGUGGAUGUACAGCGAGGAGAGGCGGUGAGGCUUCAGGAAGAGUUACUGAAGGGGGAGGAGAAGGCGAGUAGUGCCAUCAGAGAGAAACAAAGUCUGAGCGCUCGCAUCAGACAGUUGAGCCAAGAGCUGGAGGAGCUACGCAGCAAGCUGCAAGUGACAGUGGAGGAGUUGGCAGCCCGUGCAGAGGAGGCGAGGCGGAUGGAGGGGAGCCUGAAUGAGGGAAAGCUAGCAGAGGGGAAAAUAAGGUCAAUGGCUGCGAGGAUGGAGACGGAGGUGGCAGAGCUCACGAGGAAUCUUCACCAGGCUGUCGACCACAAACUCUCGGCAGAGCGAGAGAAGCGGGAAGCGCAGGAACAAGUGGACACACUCCGGUCGGAGCUGCAGGGGACACGGUCUGACUACGCACACCUUCGCCAUGAGAGCCAGCUGGUCAUGACUAAUGUUGACCGUUGGAUCAGUGAACAAAAGGUUUCCAACGAGAGCCUCAUCGGCCGGAUGAAGGCCCGCCAGCGGGUGCUGCUCCUCGUCACUGAGGAGAAAACACAUCUUCAGGGCGCUAAUGACACGUUGAAGGCGGAGGUAAAGAGACUGAAAGAAGUGGCGCAUGAGAAAGAGAGAGACACGGAACGCUUUAAGGCCAGGAUCCGAAACCAGAGCAUCCGGCAAGACGAGAGAACAAUGGAAAAGCAGAGUUGUGUUGCUCUAAACCUCAGCAAGAUCGAGGACAUGCACAACAGACUGCGAAGCAACCUGGAGGCCAUCGGAAUGCUAAAUCAACAAUUAAACUCCCUCAGCGGGGAGAAUAAGCGGUUGUGUAGGCGGCUGCAGGAGGAGAGGUCUAUGCGUAGACAAGUGGAGCGACUGCUCCCUCCUCCGCCUCCCACCUUCCAGCAGUGCUCCUCCGUCUACCUCCCCCUCUCCCUCAGUGCCUGCCCACCUCCUCCCUCCACCUCCCUACUCUCAUCCCUCCGCCUCCCUCCUCCCUUGAGCCCGGGCACAGCGACGGGGGACAUUGAUGGGAUUCUAACCCAAACCAAGCUGAGCAGAGCCGGGCUAGAGAGACCAGCAUACAGAGUAAGAAGAUGGCGCUGGGGGUAAUCUGCGCGAGUCGGCGGUGACAAAAUGGAGGGCGUCAUCAGAGGUCGCGGCGCUGUCAUCAACCGCCAAACGUUCCGCUGAUGUCUGCCUGCCACACGCUCACGCUCGUGCAUGCAUCACACAUAUUUGCAGUGCACAGGGGACAAAGAAGGGAACAUGUAUCCGUAAUCAGGUGUGACACAUCACAGCGUAAAUGCUGCAAUCUCACCUGACAGCCACGUACACACAUGAAAUGUUUGCGUUGUGGACCACCGCGACGGAAACAGACUUUGACAGGUAUCUGAGUAUAUUCUGGGAUGCACAUAACAGCGGCUUUAAUAAAUGCAGCCGGCUUGUUUUGUUUGGGUUAUUUUCUAGUUGUUGAAUGUAUUAUGGUUUUAUAGGAUGUAGAUGUGGCAGCUUUGCAGAGAGGAGCGGACUGUGAUUUCCUUAAGCCUUCAAGUUGCACUAACAAUCAGUUUACUGAGAGAUUUUUAUCUUUUGUCAUCAUUAAUUUGUCUUUAAAUGCACAGAUCUACAAAUACUCCUUGCCCUGGAACAUGCAUGCAGGUACAAAGUUACAUGGUAUGGUAUGGCUUCUUUAACUGUCCAAUUGAAAACAUUGUUGCUUUCUUUUUCAGUGUGGUGACUCCUGCUACUUCAACCUAGUUAACGUAAAAGAUUAAAGCAAAGUUGGUAACUUUUGCUGGAUAACAGCCGCUGUACGCGUGACAAUUAUGAGACGUUCAUACUAAAUGAUAAAUGUAAAGGAGCAGUGGCACCGCAGAGUCAUGAAGUCAGCAAACUGUGGUGACUAACAUUAGCUACAGGUCAGACCAUGUACAAUAGCAACAUUAAGAAAGGAUUAGAUGUAUUGCUUUUAAUUUGUAAGAGAAAGACAGUUAUCUAAUCUUUCAAAAAGUUACAGCCUCGCUUCAAACUUUAGGAUUCUCAUAAGCAUUAAACAUGCUAAUGUUACUGGCAUGAGGUUGGAACCGACUUACUUACCGCCCUUUAUGUCUACCGGCAUGUAGGGCAGCAACAAACAAUCUACAUCGUGUCAAAAAGGGAAAAAGAUUCUCAUGUCAGAAGUUGUUGAUCAGCUCCCUGAACAAAGAACACAACUUUAGCCGUUAGCUUAAC